CGAACGCUGGCGGCGCGUUUUAAGCAUGCAAGUCGAACGGUAAUAGGGUGCUUGCACUCUAUGAGAGUGGCGAACGGGUGAGUAACACGUAGGUAAUCUACCUUGAAGUUGGGGAUAGCCUGUGGAAACACAGGGUAAUACCGAAUGUCCUCAUUUCGGUGAGGAAAGAGGCUAAGGCCUCGCUUUGGGAUGAGCCUGCGGCUCAUUAGCUAGUUGGUGGGGUAAAGGCCUACCAAGGCGACGAUGAGUAGCCGACCUGAGAGGGUGACCGGCCACACUGGGACUGAGACACGGCCCAGACUCCUACGGGAGGCAGCAGCUAAGAAUCUUCCGCAAUGGCCGAAAGGCUGACGGAGCGACGCCGCGUGGACGAUGAAGGCCGGAAGGUUGUAAAGUCCUUUUAUUGGAGAAGAAUAAUGCGGGGAGGGAAUGCCCUGCAGAUGACGUUAUCCUAUGAAUAAGCCCCGGCUAAUUAC
rnacentral:rRNA from 1 species